rnacentral:rRNA from 1 species
GUAGGGCGGCGAGCGUUGUCCGGAUUUAUUGGGCGUAAAGAGCUCGUAGGCGGCUUGUCGCGUCGACUGUGAAAACCCGCGGCUCAACUGCGGGCUUGCAGCCGAUACGGGCAGGCUAGAGUUCGGUAGGGGAGACUGGAAUUCCGUGGUGUAGCGGUGAAAUGCGCAGAUAAUCAGGAGGAACACCGGUGGCGAAGGCGGGAUCUCUG